rnacentral:rRNA from 1 species
UAAUACGAGGGGGGCAAAUGUUGUUCGGAAUCACUGGGCGUAAAGGGAGCGUAGGCGGGUUCUUAAGUAAGGUGUUUAAUCCCGGGGCCCAACCCCGGACCGGCACUUUAAACUGGGAAUCUUGAAUAGUGGAGAGGUCAGUGGAAUUGGGGGUGUAGCGGUGGAAUGCGUAGAGAUCCCCAAGAACACCAGUUGCGAAGGCGGCUGACUGGACACAUAUUGACGCUGAGGCUCGAAAGCAUGGGGAGCAAACAGGAUUAGAUACCCUGGUAGUCCAUGCCAUAAACGAUGAAUACUAGGUUUUGGGCCCGUCAACGGUCCAGAGCCGCAGCUAACGCGUUAAGUAUUCCGCCUGGGGAGUACGGUCGCAAGACUG